rnacentral:rRNA from 1 species
CAAUAGCGUAUAUUAAAGUUGUUGCAGUUAAAAAGCUCGUAGUUGGAUUUGUGGCGUACGGUGUGUUCCGGGCACUUGUUGUCUGAGUAACCUGCUGUUGCCAUCCUUGGGUGGAACCUGUGUGGCAUUAGGUUGUCGUGUAGGGGAUGCCCAUCAUUUACUGUGAAAAAAUUAGAGUGUUCAAAGCAGGCUUAUGCCGUUGAAUAUAUUAGCAUGGAAUAAUGAGAUAGGACUUUUUUGCUAUUUUGUUGGUUUGCGCAAAGAGGUAAUGAUUAAUAGGGACAGUUGGGGGUAUUCGUAUUCCAUUGUCAGAGGUGAAAUUCUUGGGUUUUUGGAAGACGAACUACUGCGAAAGCAUUUACCAAGGAUGUUUUCAUUAA